GUCCACGCUGUAAACGAUGGGCACUAGGUGUUCGGGGUAUCCACUCCUCGAGUGCCGCAGCUAACGCAUUAAGUGCCCCGCCUGGGGACUACGGCCGCAAGGUUAAAACUCAAAGGAAUUGACGGGGGCCCGCACAAGCGGUGGAGCAUGUGGUUUAAUUCGACGCAACGCGAAGAACCUUACCUGGACUAGACAGCAGGGGACAGCCUCGGAAACGAGGUCUUCCCUUCGGGGACCCCUGAUUCAGGUGCUGCAUGGCUGUCGU
rnacentral:rRNA from 1 species